GAUGAACGCUAGCGGCAGGCCUAAUACAUGCAAGUCGAGGGGUAGAAGAGGCUUGCUUCUUUGAGACCGGCGCACGGGUGCGUAACGCGUAUGCAACCUACCUUCAUCUGGGGGAUAGCCCGGAGAAAUCCGGAUUAAUACCGCAUAAAAUCACAGGAUGGCAUUAUCCAAUGAUCAAAACAUUUAUGGGAUGGAGAUGGGCAUGCGUGUCAUUAGCUAGUUGGCGGGGUAACGGCCCACCAAGGCGACGAUGACUAGGGGAUCUGAGAGGAUGGCCCCCCACACUGGUACUGAGACACGGACCAGACUCCUACGGGAGGCAGCAGUAAGGAAUAUUGGUCAAUGGAGGCAACUCUGAACCAGCCAUGCCGCGUGCAGGAAGACUGCCCUAUGGGUUGUAAACUGCUUUUAUUCGGGAAUAAACCUUAUUACGUGUAAUAAGCUGAAUGUACCGAAGGAAUAAGGAUCGGCUAACUCCGUGCCAGCAGCCGCGGUAAAAC
rnacentral:rRNA from 1 species